rnacentral:rRNA from 1 species
AUGUACCUUGGUGCUCUGAGCAGGAAAGAAAUAGAGCAACCAAUUACCGGCGACAUUACAGUAGAAGAAAACGGAGACAUAAGCAACGAGCGGUAUAGAGAUGCUUGUGCAACUUAUACACACAGGCACACAACACAUACGUACCUAGAAGGAUAUUGUGAUCGCUGCGGCACGCCACGCCGAGACACACAUGCUGACAUGCAUUAA